AUGCCUAUUGUUAAACCAGGAAAUUGGCACAUAAAGAUUCGUGGAAAUAUGAUAAUUUCUGAGGACACAUCUUCACAAGGAAGCAAAACUGUUGCUGAUGAAGUUUCGGUAGUCGAGCUAGGAGAGUGUCCCCUUUUCAAGAAUAGAUAUGCAGAGAAGAACUGAGGUGGUCUGUGCUGGUUGUUCAUGGCCUAGUGGGCUGUUGGUGUGUUUUCUUUAACCUGCAUUUGUUUAAAUAUUAAGAGUCUAAGAAUAAACAGAAUGGAAAUUAGCUUCA
ensembl:lncRNA